UUUUAGUAUUUCGCGUACAAUGGACCAGAAACCGCCACGUCCCCGCACCUUACAACUGUCCCCCGUCACGGCCAAGAAAGCGCCUCGUUCUGGACGUCACCGGAAACAAGCGUCCACCCGACACAGGAGUACAACCGAACUCAAACUACUCGCCAAUAACAUCCGAGGAAUCAUCGAGGAUAUCUCCUUCCAAAACAGUGAGCAGUCUCGGGAAAAUGUCCUUCGUCGUUCCUAUAUUGGUAUAAGCCGAAGUGCAGCGGCUACUUACGGAGAUGAGCCGGAACCUCUGUUUUCCAGGAGGAAUAUCGUAUCGGCGUUUUACGGGGAAAAUCGCUCCGGAGAUGGGGUUACCAGGGAAACAGCGAUGCAAAUGUCAAAGCGAGUCGCGAAAACGGAGAGAUACGACAAGCGGCUCCAACAGGAAGUGAAGGCGGACAAACGUCAGUCGUGUCCCUGGGAUCUGUCGUAUUUUGACCAACAUGGCGAUAGCAGGUCGCUCCAGAUUCUUGCUACGGAGUUGAACCAUCUCCGGGAAAUCCGCGAGAAUGAAGUACGGGAUUUAUUAACGGUGAACAAUAAACUCCAGCAUGAUCUGUUUGACGCUGACAGAGAAAUAUGUACACUUCAAGAAAAAAACUUUCAGAGUAACAAGAGGUUGGAGGACAUGUUACGUGUGUACGAACGAAUUCGAGAAAACUUGAAGCACUGUUUAACAAAAGUCCGGGAUUUGGAAAGUCUUGGAAAAAUUACACCAUUUAAUUCUGAUGAUGAAUCUUCAGCGCGAGCUCAGAAAGGCGAGGACCGAGGCAAUGACCAGGCCAGUCUGUCCUCGGGUUUCAACACGCUGUCCGAUAUGUCCGAGAGUCUACCACUGGACUCUAUGGCGCUUGGAUACGAAGGUUAUUAUUUAAAUGUUACUAAUAGCUGUAAGAGAGAACUAAAACUUGGGACACAUUAAAUUUCUGCACAAUAAUAAUAUUCAACUGCAAUUGCAAAUUGCAAUCCAAAUUCAUUUCUUAAAGUGAUUUAUUAUUUAUUUAUUAAAGUGAUUUAUUUAUUAAGUAAUACUGUAGAAAAGAUGGCAGAUAUAUACAUAAAAUAAAUUAAAAGAAAUAAAUUCCUUGGUUAAUCAAUUUAUUCUUUUGUUUCGGUUUUCAAUCCUUUUUAAUUACAAUAUUGAAUCAAAAUGUUACUAGUAUGUCGCAAGAUAAAUCAUACAUAAUAAAAAUAUAAAGAGUACUUGUUUACUUAACAAAUCGAUUUCCUAUUUGCAAAACAUGUAAAAAAAAUUAAUUAGAUUUACCAAAACAUUUAACUAGUAUGUACUAACGCUCUGUUCGUUAUCAAUUUUUUUUCCUGAUUAAAACUUGUCUAAAAUGUAUGACACACAAUAAAGUUUAUUACACAGAUCGGGUAAAUGUUGAAAACUGUAAUUGUUUAAGUUGACCAAUACUCGAAUUACCCUGGGUACGGUUAUGCUUUUACUUGAAUUCCUGCCCAAAGUUAAGUUUUCUAAGUAUGCUUAUUCCCACAUAAAUACUAGCACUGGAUUAUGCCAUUUAAACGUUGAUGAAAGAUUUCUUCUUUUAACAAUUUGUUUCAUUUUAUCAAUUUUAAAAAACAAUUUUACGCCAAAAGCAUUUAAAGACAGAUAUCUUUCAAAAUGUUCAGAUUUAAUUUUUUCCACGUGUGCAUUAAAUAUCUUCCAGAAAUUGAAGUUGAUACCGGUAUCUUGUAAAAGAAGUUUUUACAUAAAUCAGGUCUCAAGAAGUGCAUUUGUCUCAAACAAAUUUCAUUCAACAAAGGCAGAUAAUGAUCGCUUAUCCAUCAAUUUUGUUAUAUGUAAAAAAAAUUUAAGGCGAUGGAGAGAAUUCUACGUGCGAGAGGCGCCGUGCGGGUCUCUCCAAUAUGACCGACUUACUGCGAGACAUCGACUCCAUCAGCCUGGACAGUCGCAGUACCGGAUGUGGGGGGUCCCCACCAGAUGGCAGCAAUGGUCCGUCCCCACGCCCAGAGCGGAAGCUCCUCAUCCGACUACAGGAGGACGUGAACUCUCUGUCGCAAAUCAAUCGGGACCAAUCUCAGGAAAUCGAGCGACUUCGGUCUGACCUGGCUUCCUGUCGUAAACACAUGACUUCCUCCCAGUUCCAGCUAGAGGCGGUUGAGAUCGAGUGUAGUCGUCUGCUGGCGAUGGAGGACCAGAUCGCCUCCGUCAUCACGCUCCUGCAGAGAGCAAAGGACGUGCAUCUCCACAGACAGAUUUUAGGAGACAUCAUUUUGAACGCCGUGACUAACGCAAUGUGUCUCGACAGUGGAUCAUCAGGUAUAGCAGCAGACGUGUUUCUGAGAGAGCUACACGAGCGAUUGUCAUUGCAUCCUCAGCUUGGUCCCUCAGAUGUAACAGAACCAAGUAAGCGUAAACCGGCUUCUGUAAGCAAAGAGAAGACCAAACGGCCCGGCAGUGGGGACAGCAAACGAUUUGGAGCCAUAUUUUCGGACCUUUCUCUGACACAGCCUGUUCUUGAGUUUAACACGAAGUCUGGCAACAAAGAGACCGACAUUGCUGGGAAAGCGGCGGCUGGAGAAAAGAAAGAUAUUUUCGACGCAUUAAAGUUUAUCGACGACGAGGAGGACCAACUGAGUGAGGCCGAGUCGUUUCACAGUCUGAGCAGGCACCUGUCGGGGGACCACGAGAAGAACUGAGGGCAUUGAUCGCUAUGAACUCCUUAAUUUACACAGUGACAUUGAGAUAUGAUUUAGUUUGUAAGUAGUGUACAUUAGUCGAUAUUAGUCAAUAGGCUGUCUUAAUAAUUCAUUGUAGUAAACAUAAAACUGUAUGUACAAAAAAGGGGUUAAUGAAUGGCGACAAAC
rnacentral:misc_RNA from 1 species